rnacentral:rRNA from 1 species
AAGGUCGAAGCCGCACCCGAAACGAGAGACUUAGGGUGGUCGUAUUACACGACUUUGAUAGGGCGGGCGUGUAAGCAUGAAGCUUCGGCGACAUGCGAGCGCACCGCUACUAAAUCCUAACAUCACAAGCUC